ensembl:lncRNA
CGGGCGAGCGCGCUCGGGCCGCGGGGACUGGCGGGUGCCUCGGGGAGCGCAGCCCGCACCCUGCGAGACCGAGGGGGGCGUGGGGCCGGAAUGGCUCCCCGGUGGGACAGACCCCGAGCUGGGUCACAGGCGCUGCCGCCUCGGCCGAGGGGCUCGAGCAGGAGCGUCUGUCGUGGGUGUUCGUGCGGUGCCUCCAUCGCUGCCCGGGCGCACGGACCGCCCUGCGCAUCCUUCCGCUGAAGCGAGCCGGAGCCGGGAACUGGCUCCGUCCUUCUGCACAGCCACAUCAGGAGUUUUCCCAGAAGUAGCCAGAAAGCUCCGGCAUUGCGGUGAGCUCCCAAUGCAAGAGCAGGGCUGCCGGGCUGCCGCCGCCGCGUAAAAUGCUAAAUCACGGCUCUGCGUAGUGGCCAUGACUGGUCCCUUGGCAGCCUCGCCCGCGGGCAGCCUCCCGAGCUCAGGGGAGGCAAGGCUGACGUGUGGUACUGUUGUACUGCACUGAGACGCGGUUCUUACAUGGUACCGCAAACUGCAAACGCGGCCGAACCUCCCCCCGUCCCGCCCGGUGCAACUCCCGGCCCGUUCUGGGCGCCUGAGCCGGGCGGCAGCUGCUGCGCCCCUGGGGCAAGGCAGGCGCCGUGUUUGCCGAAGCACAAUCGCCUUUUAGGGGAACCGAGCGCCUUGGCAGCGGGGGCUCAGCAGCCCCGCCGGCCCCACCGCGCGGCACCAGCGUCUCCUGCUGUCCCCGAGCCCGGCCUUGGGGCAGGACCGGGCUGUCCCAGCGCAGACCCGCUGCCCGCAGUAUACACGAGAUGGCGUGCCAUCGGGAAUGACCGCGGCUCCCUCGGGGACCAGGCACAGACGGCCCUCGCCAGGGCAGGACUCACUGCUGGAAGCAUCGCCCAGCCGGAGGAAGGAGAGAGCACCAGGAGAAAGGGAGGAACAGCACCUCUGGUUCGACGGGCUUUCCAAAUGUGGAAGAAAGAUGUGAAGCCUUCAUGCAAGACCAGAAUUCCUCCCGCUGCUCAAAACUCUCUCAAACCACUUCUCUGUAUGAGACCUGGCAAAUGCCCAUUGUGCUUCAGAGAGGCAAGGCUGCAGGGCCAGCUCUUGGCAGAUUGUAAGAGAAGACUCCUUCACAAAAGCCUAGAGCUGUGUUAA